rnacentral:rRNA from 1 species
ACUCAAAGGAAUUGACGGGGGCUCACACAAGCGGUGGAGCAUGUGGUUCAAUUCGAAGCAACGCGAAGAACCUUACCCGGGUUUGAAAUCCACGGAUGGGUCCGACGAAAGUUGGAUACCCUGCCUCGUGUCGUGAGAUGUCGGGUUAAGUCCCUCAACGAGCGAAACCCUUGUCUCUAGUUGCCAACGGUUCGGCCGGGGACUCUAGAGAGACUGCCGUUGUGAAAACGGAGGAAGGUGGGGAUGACGUCAAGUCAUCAUGGCCUUUAUGUCCGGGGCUACACACGUGCUACAAUGGCCGGUACAAAGGGACGCUAAGCCGCGAGGUAGAGCAAAACCCAAAAAACCGGCCCCAGUUCAGAUUGGAGGCUGCAACUCGCCUCCAUGAAGAUGGAAUCGCUAGUAAUCGCGGAUCAGCUACGCCGCGGUGAAUAUGUUCCUGGGCCUUGUACACACCGCCCGU